AGAAAAGGUGAUUAAAAGGGAAUCGGGUGCAAAUCCCGAACAGUCCCGCUGCUGUGAGUUUCACAUAAUCGUUAUCAGCACGUACCAUUUGCCACUGGAAUCUUUUCCGGGAAGGCCGCUGAUAAUAGAAACAAGUCAGAAGACCUGCCAUGCGUAUC
rnacentral:ncRNA from 1 species